rnacentral:tRNA from 2 species
GUGGCUGUGGCUCAGUAGUAGAGCGCUUGCCUAGCAUGUGUGAGGCACUGGGUUCAAUUCUCAGCACCACA